GGAAAAGAGAAAUUCCAGAUUUAAGUUUCAAGGCCAUCUGUGUAACUUUUCAUAAUAUUUCUUCACAGGGAAUGGUUUCUAAUUUCAUGGAAGGUGAAGAGUAAGAUAUAGACAUCUGUGGAGGCCUUCAAUAGUUAAUCCUGGAAAUAUCUGGAUUAUCUAUCCUGUUGGGAGCCUGGAGAAUGCAUUGCCACAGAAGUAUGAAUAAAUUCUCUUCAGUGAAGAGUAGAACUGAAGUAAAUGUGAAACAAUGCCAGCGAAAAAUAGUCAAAAGGCCACUAAAGCAAGGAAAAGAAGCAAGGCAUAAUUCCAAGUUUUGGGGGACCACAGCUGUAUACUGAAGAUUACCAGGGGCCAUCAUGAAACAAGGUGCAUAUACUGCAGUUUACAUCUGGACCCUGAAGAACAUAUUUGUAUACAAUCCUGAGUAUCCCCUGAAAACCUGUUUUUAUGGAGAAACUUUAGAAGUGUUCAUUGAUUUGGGUUAUAGAUUCUUAUCUGUCGCCCGGUUUGGAGUACAGUGGCACAACUGUAGCUCACCACAGCCUCAACCUUCUGGACUCUAGCAAUCCUUCUGCCUCAGCCUCCCAAGUAGCUGGGACGACAGGUCGGUGCCACCAUGCCCAGCUAAUUUUAAGUUUUUUUUUUUUUGUGAAGAUGGGAUCUUACCAUGUUGCCCAGGCUUGUCUCAAACACCUGGACUCAAGUUAUCCUCCCUGCUCAGCCUCUCAAAGUGCUGGGAUUACAGGCAUGAG
rnacentral:lncRNA from 10 species